AUCGUGUCAUUUGUCCUGCUGACUUUGUUUGAUGAAAUCUCUAUUGAAAUCUUCAGUCGUCAUUGACCAAUUUCAUUUACGAGGUUGAUGAUAAUAUAUUUUCAUUAAUAUCAAUAUGUGUAUCUACGAAUAGGUGUACAUUAUCUGCAAAUAUUAUAAAAUAGCAAACGUUUCUGAGAUAAGUGCGAAGUUCAGUCAUAGGUCUGAUGGUCGAAUCAAAAUGCAAGCAGGUGAGCACGACGCCCUGAACUUCUCUGCAAUGAACCACCCUCUGCACAUUCAAGCGCGGAAUCUAAUUCACCCCCGCGAGAAUGUCGCUGGGAAUCGUUUUCCUUCAAACUCCAUAAAUUAGGUGUGCUCAUAGCA